UACGAAGGGGGCGAGCGUUGUUCGGAUUUACUGGGCGUAAAGGGCGCGCAGGCGGCUCAUUUUGUCAGGCGUGAAAGCCCCGGGCUUAACCUGGGAGGUGCGUUUGAUACGGAUGGGCUAGAGUUCGGGAGAGGAGAGUGGAAUUCCCAGUGUAGAGGUGAAAUUCGUAGAUAUUGGGAAGAACACCGGUGGCGAAGGCGGCUCUCUGGACCGAGACUG
rnacentral:rRNA from 1 species